GCGCGGGUGGUGGAAUUGGUAGACACGCCACUUUGAGGGGGUGGUGCCGGUAACGGUGUGUGGGUUCAAAUCCCGUCCCGCGUA
rnacentral:tRNA from 1 species